rnacentral:tRNA from 1 species
GCGAUGUGAUGGAACAACCGGCGAUUCAGCGGGCGUUGCUGUUGCUCGAUGAUGCGUUAGAGUUGUGUUAUGACGUG